GCAUUAAUGGGGUAGUGGUAACCUGGGUCGUUGCCAUUUCGUAUAUGUAGUGCAUCGACAUGUCGACCCGCCGGGGGUUCGAUUCCCUCUUAAUGCA